AGUCCUCGCAGUACACCUGUCUGCCCUGCGAAGUGCACGUCUCAGCUGUAGCUCCCAGAGCCAGAGCUUCAGUGAUCCUCCGACUGUGAAAAACCAAACCCCUGGCUGCCUGGCUCCCUAGGAAUCAAGGAGAGGCACAGACUUGAAAAUCAGGGAGGAAAGGAGCAAGAUCGAGCAUGAGGAUUAGCAUCUGCAAAUUGAACUCUAUCUAAUUUGCAUGUUUAUUUCUUAGAAUUGUAAUUAAAUUUGUGUAAUAAAUGUUUUCCAUUUCAUUUGUACACUUAAAAUUUGGGUGACUGACAUACAGUUAAGUGAAUUUCUUUCUUUCUUUUUUUUUUUUUAAAGCAAAUGUAGUUUAUUCAAUAAAGCAGCAAACAAAUAUUAACCAUAAUUAGAAC